GUACCAGAACAGUCCUUGCGGUAUUCAGUGGUACAUUUGCUAAAAUUAGAAGGAAACAGAGAUUAGCAUGACCCCUGUGCAAGAUGGCAGGAAAGAUUCCUGAAGCAUUCUGAAUUUUU
rnacentral:snRNA from 1 species